GUUCAAGCCCCACCAGGUCCAGGUCCAAGGUUGACUCAGCCUUUCAUCCUUUAUAAGGAAUCAAAUCCUUGGAAUUCCAUCAAAGCCAUGGAAAUCUGGAUAAGUUUGGGGCAAUCAUUCUCUUUCAAGACAAUCUACCUCACAGGUUGAGUGUUGUGAAAGUAAAAUGAAGGAAGAUCCCUUCUGAAAGCUGCCAUGAGUCCUUGGAAGGAAGGAAAGGUAAUUGAGAAGAUGGUGAAGCUAAAUUUGCAAAAUUAUCUGAACUCUUUUCAGUCAGGGCUUAAGCCUAGAUGUGGAACUGAAAUUGUAUUGGUUGUUUUCAUGGGACUUGGGCAUGAGAAAUACAAUUCUUCUGACCCUACUGGACGUCUUAGCUGCAUCAGUACCAGUUAUCUUGGUAUCUUUGUGGACCAGUUGUGAGAUUGGAAAAGUCGUAGUGUCAUAGUGGUUCUCUUUUUUGAAUUGUCAAUUCAAGCCAAUAGUUUUGUGGGGUGUCAACUCUCAGGUGCUUCACAGGGCUUGGCCUUCCGCUUAAUGUUUAAUAUCUACAUGAAGCUACUGAUGAAGAUACUUUGCUACCUUUCAAUUAGGUAUCAGUAUGCUGAUGAUUCUAUUAUAUAUUGCAGUCCCUAAAUAUGAUAGAAUCUUGGUGCUUGGAGAGGGUUAGAACCUGGAUGGGGAGAAAUAGGUUUAGGCAGAAUCUAACAAGAUGGAGGAGCUGUGGAUUUGAAAGCUGAUCUAUUCUAGAGAAGUUCUGACAGAAUUGUCCUUCCUCAGUUGGAGAUGAUCUGCAGUCUACAGAUUUUUCCAGGUUCAUGGUGAACUGUGAAUGUACUAUUUUUAAAACAAAAGGCCUUGGUAAUGAUAAUUUAUGCCAUUGUCUGCUCCUGAGGUACAACUCACUUGCAAUUCACUCUAGAUCAGGGAUGUCAGCUCAAAGCCCACGGGCUGAAUCCAGCCUUUGGGAUGCUUAGAUAUGCCCCUCAGGGCCACCCUGGAAACAGUGAAGGACCAGCCCAUGGUGCCUCUGCCAGUGAAAAUGGGCUCCCAAUAUCCAUUUUUGCCUGGGACAGCAUCCUGCAACCUUCUGCCAGUGAAAACGGAGCUCUGUUUUUGCUGACAGAAGGUUGCAGGAGGCUGUCCCAGCCAAAAACAAAGAUUGGGAGCCUGUUUUCACUGGCAGAGCAUUUGGGCCAUCACAGGCACCCCUGACACAAGUGACAUCAAGCUGGCCACAUCUACCCUGGCCAUGCCCACCCCAGCCCCCCGUGGUCAAACACAACCCUGAUGCGUCCCUCAAUGAAAUCAAAUUUGACACCCCUGCUCCAGCUAGAGCUGUCCCUGAAGACCAUUUGGAAGCAGUAAUAGUAGUUAUGGACUGUUGAAUUGUUCUGAGCACAAUUCAAAUUUGUAGAAUUAACUUAACUUUCAAAACCUUAUACGGCACAAAAACUGGGUAUCUCCAAAAGGUGAAAUCUGCCUGCCAGUGACAUCAGGAAGCACAUUAAAAGUCCCACCUCUGAAAUAACGUGGCUAUCAGGAAUUCGAUGCAUGAUACUUCUCCAUGAAGUUCCCUUUAAUAGAUCUUUUCUUCUAAAGUUAGUUAGUUCUAUCCUGCUAGACUCUUGUAGAAUGGUAUAGAAAGUGUUUCAGAAAACUUUCUGGAAUUGGACAGAAACAUUAUUCUUACAAUAAGGUUGGAAUAUUAUUGAUGAGAGGGUGGUGGUGUGAUCAAUGGUUUAAUUUUGUUCUUUGUAUUGCUUUAAUUUUACUAUUUAGAGCAGAUAUUGUAAGUCACUUAUAAUCUUCAAAUUGGAGUAGCUUGGAAACCUAACUGGCUGAGUAACUAAAUGUAUAGACAUGUAAGUAAAUUGUUUCAGUAUAAUCCAUCCAGAAAACUCAGUUAUUAAUAAAUUAAAUAUGCAACUAAUUAUAGAGCAUAUGCUUGGAUUUGUUUAUCUGUCUAAGUUUAAAGAAUAUUCAAAAACCUUCUACAAUGUCAUUUUGAGUUUCAUCUGAAAAUGCUUUUACUACAAAGCUUAAUAUUGUAGUAAAAAUGACUAUCACUAUUAAUUUUAUAAAAAUCUAGAAAUUCAGAAAGAACCAAUAUUUCACUAAAUAUUAUAUAUUGCAUGUCAAAAUGAAAAUGACAUAUG